rnacentral:rRNA from 1 species
AUUGAACGCUGGCGGCAUGCCUUACACAUGCAAGUCGAACGGUAACAGGUCUUCGGAUGCUGACGAGUGGCGAACGGGUGAGUAAUACAUCGGAACGUGCCCGAUCGUGGGGGAUAACGAGGCGAAAGCUUUGCUAAUACCGCAUACGAUCUACGGAUGAAAGCGGGGGAUCUUCGGACCUCGCGCGGACGGAGCGGCCGAUGGCAGAUUAGGUAGUUGGUGGGAUAAAAGCUUACCAAGCCGACGAUCUGUAGCUGGUCUGAGAGGAUGAUCAGCCACACUGGGACUGAGACACGGCCCAGACUCCUACGGGAGGCAGCAGUGGGGAAUUUUGGACAAUGGGCGAAAGCCUGAUCCAGCCAUGCCGCGUGCAGGAUGAAGGCCUUCGGGUUGUAAACUGCUUUUGCACGGAACGAAAAGCCUCUUUCUAAUAAAGAGGGGUCAUGACGGUACCGUAAGAAUAAGCACCGGCUAACUACGU